AAUGGGAAAGAAGAAAGUUAGAAGAAGAAGACUAGAAGAAGAAGAUUAUUAUGAUGCUGUCCACUUAAUUUAAGUGGGAUUAUGUGGGCUGCCACAUGCUCACAUACUCCAUGACAACAAAAACAGCAAUUGCAAGCUAAUUGCACUACAUAACGUGUCCAGGCUAUAAAGGAUACAGAAAUUGAGCACUGGCCGUUUGGAAUUUUUAUCAGCCACCGUUGAACAUGCCAAAAUAAUCCACAGAUGACACACUAGCAGUACCGAAUUUGAGCACUACAUAGACUAAGACUGAAAUAUAUGGUUUAAAUGUUCAUACACUAAAAAAUAUUGGAACAUAAUAUAGGAAUGAAUAUCUAAGAUGAUUUUUUUCCAUUUCUUCAAGAUAUUCUAAACAUCAACCUGUCAUGCUGAACUUGAAGUAGCAGUGCAUAUUUCCUGCCAAGAUUGAACAGUCAAAAGGUGUAUCAGUCCAUGUGCAUCAACAAUUCAACGUUGAUGCUUAAAUUAAGCAAGCAUUGUGCUUCACUGAAAUCCCUAAACACCAGUUCAGCGAUUUCUAUCUCACAACUCAAAGCAACAGUUUACAGACAAAUCAGCAGACUGCAUGUAUACUAUAUUAAUGAGCUGGCCAGUUACCAAGUUAGCAAAUGGAUCAAAAGUGAAUUUAUUCAAAUAUUCAUAUAGUAGGAAGUCAAUUUUGAUGGCAUCUCUUCAUACUAAGAAACAACAAGAUUUUACCUUGCUAUUUUAAGGACCUCCAAUUGGUGAUCAGAGAGUGAGAUAUCAGGACAUAUAAAUGGUGAAUUCACCUAUAUACCAUUACCCUGCCUCGCUCCUAUGUCAAAUUCUGUCUCGUAGCUAGUCAUAUAACCCCUCCUAAUUUUGGAUGGAACAUGAAGUCUUGCUACCGUUUUACUUUUUGUUCGCUACCACCAAGAGUCAGGCUGAAUACUAGAGCCUUCUUUUUCAGUUGCCAGUUUGCAAAGUCCUACUUAUGCCGUAGCAGUAACCUGGGCCAUGAUCUGUUGGAUAAUGUUCAAGCUCUUAAGCAAGAAAGAAACAUUUUUUCUUUCAUGGAACAACCAAAAUCCUACUACCAGGACAGGAGUGACCACAUCUUCGAAGGAUCGCUGUAUCCCAGCCAUUACAGAUGACCAAUGUUAAAUUAUUUACCACUUCAACAACCAAUUGUUUCCACAUUUUACUCAGAUGAGUUGGUUAAAGCUAGUGGCAGCUUAAGCUCUCCAGGAAAUCAGAUGAGGGGAAGCAAGAAUAUUCAGAGACCAAUCAUAGAAUCCUUGAAGCAUAAGGGAAUAUAUAUUUCGGUAUGAUGUUCAUAGGAAGGAAAUUGGGUGACUAGUAAUCAUAUAUUGGUCGGUGACUCAUAAGAAGGGAAUUGCUUGGUCAACAAAUAUAUAUAUCUGCACCCUGUACAUAGUAUAAUGCUGCAGAUAUGUGUUUGAUGGAAGUUGGUUUCAUGGUCUUAUUCUGACAGCAAGAAAACUAAAUAAAUUGAUUUUUCGUAUAUUCAAAAUAUGGUCCAUCUUAUGCAUACAAGGUGCUAUCUUGGCAUGGAUACAACCUGCAACCAUAUGCACAGGAGGUGUGUCUAUCUUAGGAGGAGCAUAGUUUCAGAAGAGUAUUUCUUUAUUUGAACCGGUUUGAUUUUUUUCCCGCAUGAUCCACUGCUCAACUCGGUGUUCAGAGUAAGAACAGAGCAGCUGGAAUGGCACAGAUGUGCAGCCACACACACACACACACACACACAUACACACACACACACACAAUAAUCAGAACAGUUUUGCAAGUUAGAUCUAAAUUUUAUAUACGAUUAAUGUUGGCACUCCAUUGGCAAUGAAUUGGCAUAGAACACAUCAACAUAGAUUAAUGUUGGUCGGAUGGAAAAAUACCAAGAGAGAUUAAUGCAUAUAUUUUAUGGCUCUCAGUUUCGAAAUAAACACGGUUUAUAGCGAUGAAGAAACAAAAGGUAUUAGCUCUAUUACCUCACACAACCAUUCGAAGUAAUCACCAGGAGACGAAAGAACAUAUCAGGCUGUAGGAGUUAACAUGACCUUCGUAGCAAACAAAUAGACACGGUUCAUACGCACUCAAUUCUGAAAAAGAAAAACAUAAGCUUCAGUAGCAAACAAAUAGAAUCCUAAAACCAUGUAUAUAUAUACAGAGAAAAGAAAGUUAGGAACGCAAACUGUCCUAUUACUCCCAUGUGUGAAGAGCCAAAGCUAUUUUCAAGUAGUAUUAUAAGGUAGCUCUAGAUUUUAAUCCAUAGCAAUCAAAUUAAC
rnacentral:lncRNA from 1 species